ensembl:lncRNA
GAGAGGGACGAGAGAGAGAGAGGGACGAGAGAGUUAAAGUUAGAGGGAAGAGAGAGAGAGAGAGAGGGAAGAGAGAGAUAGCGAGAGGGAAGAGUGAGAGGGAAGAGAGAGAGAGGGACGAGAGAGAGAGGGGGAAGAGAGAGAGAGAGGGACGAGAGAGAGAGAGGGACGAGAGAGUUAAAGUUAGAGGGAAGAGAGAGAGAGAGAGCGAGAGGGAAGAGAGAGAUAGCGAGAGGGAAGAGAGAGAUAGCGAGAGGGAAGAGAGAGAUAGCGAGAGGGAAGAGAGAGAGAGCGAGAGAGAGAGAGAGAGAGAGGGAAGAGAGAGAGA